rnacentral:rRNA from 1 species
AACGAACGCUGGCGGCAGGCUUAACACAUGCAAGUCGAACGCCCCGCCAGGGGAGUGGCAGACGGGUGAGUAACGCGUGGGAACAUACCCUUUUCUACGGAAUAGCUCGGGGAAACUGGAAUUAAUACCGUAUACGCCCUACGGGGGAAAGAUUUAUCGGGGAAGGAUUGGCCCGCGUUGGAUUAGCUAGUUGGUGGGGUAAAGGCCUACCAAGGCGACGAUCCAUAGCUGGUCUGAGAGGCUGAUCAGCCACAUUGGGACUGAGACACGGCCCAAACUCCUACGGGAAGCAGCAGUGGGUAAUAUUGGACAAUGGGCGCAAGCCUGAUCCAGCCAUGCCGCGUGAGUGAUGAAGGCCUUAGGGUUGUAAAGCUCUUUCACCGAUGAAGAUAAUGACGGUAGUCGGAGAAGAAGCCCCGGCUAACUUCGUG